UGACGUAGCUUCCAAGAUAUUAAGAAAAGGAGCUGAGCCACUCAAGAGAUUAUCCAGUCAAACUGAUCACAAGUUUUACAGAGCUUUAUGUGAUUUAAGGAGAAGAUGGAUACUGCAUAGAACAGCUAAUGGAGUCAGUGGAGACCUCAGCUAUAGAUCAGAGGUUGUUUCUCUUGAUUCUUUGUUGCCGUCUUGUUUCAUUGAGCUUCAUAAGCAACAGUUGAUGUUAACUCCAUGGGAGCAGAUACUUAAAUCAGCUCAAAAUGUGCUCUUCAAUGAAGAACUGUUUGCUCAGAUUGUACAAUCAUUUGUGAUGAGGAACUUGUAUUAUAUAAUAUGAAACUGCACAACAGGAAAGGUCAUGACUAGCGGGUGGGUCAUUAAACCUUAUCGCUAUAAAAAAAACUACUCACACAAGUCAUGUAUCUUGUGCAGGUGGGUGUGGUUGUGGGUGGAGUCAAACAUGACGUACAUUGAAUAGGUUGAUAUGGGAGGAGUACCAGCAACACUGGUUAAUAUUGUAUCAAGACGUCAGCCAUUAGCAGUGGCAUAUUUACGUGAUUAUUUAGAAACAACUAUAGUUUAAAUUCAAAUAGAAA